UUUAAACCUAUCCCUACGCUUUAAAGCUGUCUAGUUCGAAGCUCUUGUACGAAAUCAUUUAUUGAAGUUUUCUUUGGUUAAUUUUAUAUUUAUUGUGACUUUAAUGUUCUGAAUUGGUUUCUCAGUUCUAAUUUUACAAAGGCGUAAUGUUUAUGUCGAUAUUAAAAGAAUUAGUUCGGAGAGAAGACUGAGAAUGGCUAAUCAGACUGCGAAUUACUGUUUGAUUACGUUAUUGUUCGUUUUGUUUAGUGCGAUCGCGUAUGCAGUUCCUCAUGAUGAAAACAACAAAACUGCAGCAUUUAAAUGUGACGAGAAUGGUGACUGUCCAUCCAGUUCUACGGAUUGUCAUGAAAUAUGUGGCUGCGACAGGUCUGGGUUCAUGGCGAUACAAUACAACGAAACUACAAAGACGUGUGUUGUAAGUUUCAGACAUCUGAUGAUCGCUGAAAUAAAAAUAUAUGACAGCCAAGAUAAAGAUUCGGAGGAUGGAGGAACCAUUGCCGGAGGAGGUACCAUGUCAAGUAAGGCAAUCAUUAUGUAACAAUAAUCGCCAUUUUAAAGAAAAAUAAAAUACGACUCGAAUCCGAGAAAAUUUUCAACUCGAUCAUGAUAUCGGUGAUAUUAUUUAUUACUUGCUGUGCUGUUUGCGUUGUAGCAGCGUGUUGCUACUGUUGCAGAAUUAGUUACAGUGAUUAUGCGCUGAAAAAGGACGUAAAGGCUUUGGCGAAUAAAUUAAAUAGAGAUGGAAAAUUACGUAAGAUUUCAAGAAAGCAACCGCAGACGCAAGCUAAUCAAAGCUGCAAUAUUGUAUGUGAAGAUGCUGGUGUGUUUGUGGUCUAAUGUUUUGUUCUUCAAAUUAAAGUUAUAACAGAAAUGAUUCUAAUAAAUACCCCUUUAAUACUU